rnacentral:rRNA from 1 species
AAUAGAUACCCGGGUAGUCCACGCCGUAAACGAUGAGUGCUAGGUGUUGGGGGCAUCACGUCCUCAGUGCCGAAGGAAACCCAAUAAGCACUCCGCCUGGGGAGUACGGCCGCAAGGCUGAAACUCAAAGGAAUUGACGGGGGCCCGCACAAGCGGUGGAGCAUGUGGUUUAAUUCGAAGCAACGCGAAGAACCUUACCAAGGCUUGACAUCCCAUUGACCGCGCUAGAGAUAGUGCUUCCCUUCGGGGCAAUGGUGACAGGUGGUGCAUGGUUGUCGUCAGCUCGUGUCGUGAGAUGUUGGGUUCAGUCCCGCAACGAGCGCAACCCUUAUCCUUAGUUGCCAGCAGGUAAAGCUGGGCUCUCUAAGGAGACAGCCGGUGAAAGCCGGAGGAAGGUGGGGAUGACGUCAAAUCAUCAUGCCCCUUACGUCUUGGGCUACACACGUGCUACAAUGGAUGGUACAAAGGGCAGCAAAACCGCGAGGUCGAGCAAAUCCCAUAAAGCCAUUCUCAGUUCGGA